UACGAAGGGGGCUAGCGUUGCUCGGAAUCACUGGGCGUAAAGCGCACGUAGGCGGCUUCUUAAGUCAGGGGUGAAAUCCUGGGGCUCAACCCCAGAACUGCCCUUGAUACUGAGGAGCUUGAGUCCGGGAGAGGUGAGUGGAACUCCGAGCGUAGAGGUGAAAUUCGUAGAGAUUCGGAAGAACACCAGUGGCGAAGGCGGCUCACUGGCCCGGUACUGACGAUGAGGUGCGAAAGCGUGGGGAGCAAACAGG
rnacentral:rRNA from 1 species